rnacentral:rRNA from 1 species
UACGUAGGGACCAAGCGUUGUUCGGAUUUACUGGGCGUAAAGGGCGCGUAGGCGGCAAUUCAAGUCAUCUGUGAAAUCUCCGGGCUUAACUCGGAACGGUCAGAUGAUACUACUUUGCUCGAGUGCGGAAGGGGCAAUCGGAAUUCUUGGUGUAGCGGUGAAAUGCGUAGAUAUCAAGAGGAACACCUGAGGUGAAGACGGGUUGCUGGGCCGACACUGACGCUGAAGCGCGAAAGCCAGGGGAGCAAACGGG